GAGGGCUGCACUUGAUUUAUUUUGACGAGGGCGGACGGGNGAGUACACGGGGGGUACCCUGCCCCUUAAGGUGGGGGGAUAACAUUUGGAAACAGAUGCCUAAUCCGCCAUAAAUCCAAGAACCGCAUGGGUUCUUGGCCUGAAAGAUGGCGGUAAGCCUAUCUGCCUUUUGGAUGGACCCGCGGCGUAUUAACCUAGUUGGUGAGGUAACCGGCCUCUACCCAAGGCAAUGAUACGUAGCCCGAACCUGARAGGUUGAUCAGGCCACAUUGGGACCUGAWACACGGCCCAAACUCCUACGGGAGGCAGCAGUAGGGAAUCWUUCCACAAUGGACGCAAGUCUGAUGGARCAACGCCSCGUGAGUGAAGAAGGCUUUCGGGUCGUAAAACUCUGUUGUUGGARAAAAUGGUC
rnacentral:rRNA from 2 species